rnacentral:rRNA from 1 species
AUUGAACGCUGGCGGCAUGCCUUACACAUGCAAGUCGAACGGCAGCACGGGAGCAAUCCUGGUGGCGAGUGGCGAACGGGUGAGUAAUAUAUCGGAACGUGCCCAGUAGUGGGGGAUAGCCCGGCGAAAGCCGGAUUAAUACCGCAUGAGACCUGAGGGUGAAAGCGGGGGAUCGCAAGACCUCGCGCUAUUGGAGCGGCCGAUAUCAGAUUAGCUAGUUGGUGGGGUAAAGGCCUACCAAGGCAACGAUCUGUAGUUGGUCUGAGAGGACGACCAGCCACACUGGGACUGAGACACGGCCCAGACUCCUACGGGAGGCAGCAGUGGGGAAUUUUGGACAAUGGGCGCAAGCCUGAUCCAGCAAUGCCGCGUGCAGGAAGAAGGCCUCGG